GCCAGUGAUUGUGCCGUCGGUUUCCUUCGGGAAUUGAAAGGGAAUCCGUUCCGGCCUCGGUCGGCAAACGGAACUGCCCCCGCAACUGUAGGCGGUGAGUGCCUCUCGAUGAGCCACUGGGACCAUCCCGGGAAGGCGAGAGGUGCCGCGACCCGUCAGUCAGGAGACCUGCCGACGAGAGAAACCACGA
rnacentral:ncRNA from 1 species